GUUAUAUUAUGUAAAGUAGGCUAGGUUAUAAUGUAUAGUAGUGGGUUGUUAGUGAUAUGUAGAUGUUAUAUUAUGUAAAGUAGACUAGGUUAUAAUGUAUAGUAGUGGGUUGUUAGUGAUAUGUUAUAUUAUGUAAAGUAGACUAGGUUAUAAUGUAUAGUAGUGGGUUGUUAGUGAUAUGUUAUAUUAUGUAAAGUAGACUAGGUUAUAAUGUAUAGUAGUGGGUUGUUAGUGAUAUGUAGAUGUUAUAUUAUGUAAAGUAGACUAGGUUAUAAUGUAUAGUAGUGGGUUGUUAGUGAUAUGUAGAUGUUAUAUUAUGUAAAGUAGACUAGGUUAUAAUGUAUAGUAGUGGGUUGUUAGUGAUAUGUUAUAUUAUGUAAAGUAGACUAGGUUAUAAUGUAUAGUAGUGGGUUGUUAGUGAUAUGUAGAUGUUAUAUUAUGUAAAGUAGACUAGGUUAUAAUGUAUAGUAGUGGGUUGUUAGUGAUAUGUAGAUGUUAUAUUAUGUAAAGUAGACUAGGUUAUAAUGUAUAGUGGUGGGUUGUUAGUGAUAUGUUAUAUUAUGUAAAGUAGACUAGGUUAUAAUGUAUAGUAGUGGGUUGUUAGUGAUAUGUUAUAUUAUGUAAAGUAGACUAGGUUAUAAUGUAUAGUAGUGGGUUGUUAGUGAUAUGUAGAUGUUAUAUUAUGUAAAGUAGACUAGGUUAUAAUGUAUAGUAGUGGGUUGUUAGUGAUAUGUUAUAUUAUGUAAAGUAGACUAGGUUAUAAUGUAUAGUAGUGGGUUGGUAGUGAUAUGUAGAUGUUAUAUUAUGUAAAGUAGACUAGCUUAUAAUGUAUAGUAGUGGGUUGUUAGUGAUAUGUAGAUGUUAUAUUAUGUAAAGUAGACUAGGUUAUAAUGUAUAGUAGUGGGUUGUUAGUGAUAUGUUAUAUUAUGUAAAGUAGACUAGGUUAUAAUGUAUAGUAGUGGGUUGUUAGUGAUAUGUUAUAUUAUGUAAAGUAGACUAGGUUAUAAUGUAUAGUAGUGGGUUGUUAGUGAUAUGUAGAUGUUAUAUUAUGUAAAGUAGACUAGGUUAUAAUGUAUAGUAGUGGGUUGUUAGUGAUAUGUAGAUGUUAUAUUAUGUAAAGUAGACUAGGUUAUAAUGUAUAGUAGUGGGUUGUUAGUGAUAUGUAGAUGUUAUAUUAUGUAAAGUAGACUAGGUUAUAAUGUAUAGUAGUGGGUUGUUAGUGAUAUGUAGAUGUUAUAUUA